AGCGUUGUUCGGAAUUACUGGGCGUAAAGCGCGCGCAGGCGGCUAUCCAAGUCAGUGGUGAAAGCCCGGAGCUCAACUCCGGAACUGCCAUUGAAACUGUUUAGCUUGAGGACGAGAGAGGUGAGUGGAAUUCCCAGUGUAG
rnacentral:rRNA from 1 species